UAGGGAAUUUUCGGCAAUGGGGGAACCCUGACCGAGCAAUGCCGCGUGAAUGAAGAAGAUCUUCGGAUUGUAAAAUUCUGUUAUUGGGGAAGAAACAUACAAAUAGGAAAUGAUUUGUAUUUGACGGUACCUGAUGAGUAAGCCCCGGCUAACUAUGUGCCAGCAGCCGCGGUAAUACAUAGGGGGCAAGCGUUAUCCGGAAUUAUUGGGCGUAAAGCGUGCGUAGGCGGUUUAUUAAGUCUGAUGUAAAAUCCCACAGCUUAACUGUGGCUGGCAUUGGAAACUGGUAGACUAGAGUACGGUAGAGGUAAGUGGAAUUCCAAGUGGAGCGGUGGAAUGCGUAGAGAUUUGGAGGAACACCAGUGGCGAAGGCGGCUUACUGGGCCGGAACUGACGCUGAGGCACGAAAGCGUGGGGAGCAAACAGGAUUAGAUACCCUGGUAGU
rnacentral:rRNA from 1 species